rnacentral:rRNA from 1 species
GACGAACGCUGGCGGCGUGCUUAACACAUGCAAGUCGAACGGAAAGGCCCUGCUUUUGUGGGGUGCUCGAGUGGCGAACGGGUGAGUAACAAGUGAGUAACCUGCCCUUGACUUUGGGAUAACUUCAGGCAACUGGGGCUAAUACCGGAUAGGAGCUCCUGCUGCAUGGUGGGGGUUGGAAAGUUUCGGCGGUUGGGGAUGGACUCGCGGCUUAUCAGCUUGUUGGUGGGGUAGUGGCUUACCAAGGCUUUGACGGGUAGUCGACCUGCGAGGGUGACCGGCCACAUUGGGAGUGAGAAACGGCCCAGACUCCUACGGGGGGCAGCAGUGGGGAAUAUUGCACAAUGGGCGGAAGCCUUAUGCAGCAACGCCGCGUGCGGGAUAACGGCCUUCGGGUUGUAAACCGCUUUCGCCUGUGACGAAGCGUGAGUGACGGUAAUGGGUAAAGAAGCACCGGCUAACUACGUG